AGGAAGUAAAAGUCGUAACAAGGUUUCCGUAGGUGAACCUGCGGAAGGAUCAUUACAAAUGACUGGGAUGUCCUAUCGGACCCCCAAGCAAACACAUCUAUGUGUACUCUGCCAUGUUGCUUCCCCAGACCAGUGGCCACUGCUGCCAGCCCAGCCCCUAAUGGGUUCCUGGGUUGAGGUGUCUGGGGAAGGGCUCAAUAUCAAACUUUUCAACCCACUAGUCGUCUGAGAAGGCCAUGUGCCGCAAUAUUUAAACAAGUUAAAACUUUCAACAACGGAUCUCUUGGCUCUCGCAUCGAUGAAGAACGCAGCGAAAUGCGAUAAGUAAUGUGAAUUGCAGAAUUCAGUGAAUCAUCGAAUCUUUGAACGCACAUUGCGCCCUUUGGUAUUCCUUAGGGCAUGCCUGUUCGAGCGUCACUAAAAACCGACUCACACAUCGUGUGGUAUUGGUAGAACAGGAUAAUAAUAACAGUAGCAUAUCAAUAAGCGGAGGAGCAUAUCAAUAAGCGGAGGAGCAUAUCAAUAAGCGGAGGAGCAUAUCAAUAAGCGGAGGAGCAUAUCAAUAAGCGGAGGAGCAUAUCAAUAAGCGGAGGAGCAUAUCAAUAAGCGGAGGAGCAUAUCAAUAAUC
rnacentral:rRNA from 1 species